GACCGGACUGAGCUCCAGCGCGCACCGACCUAUUGAUCGGGGACUCCUCCGGAUUCCCUCCGAAGCCGGGGCGACAAGCGACUCAAAGGUGCAACGCCAACCAGAGAUAUUUGUAUCAGGGUGAAAGGGGAAUGAAUCCUUGGAUUGUAUGUGGACGAUAUCUUAAUUGGAGCAGAUGAUACAGAACAGACUUGUACAGAAGCCACAGUAAGCCUGCUAAACUUUCUGGGAAUAGCCAGAUUCUGCUGGAUAUGGAUCCCCAAUUUCAGACUUACAACCAAGCCCUUAUACGCAGCCACAAAGGGCCUUGUGGGGAGUUGUUAGAAUGGACUCCAGAGUGUCGGAGUAGUUUUGAUGAAAUUAAAAAAAACGAUGGAAGCUCUCCUCAAGAAGCUACAUGAAGAAACUCACAUGGGAGCCAAUGCUAUGAUAAGCAGUGUUAAGAGAUACGCUGUAGGGCCAAAAAUGCAGACAAAUGCAGAUAUAAUAGCAAAGAGAUGAAACUUGUGUAAAUGAUCCCAAAAUACAAAGAAAGCCACCAGCAGGUGACGUAAAAAGAGGAAUAACCCCUAGGGAAUACUGGCAAAUAGAUUUCUCUGAAUUACCAAAAUGUGGACAACAUAAGUAUCUACUUGUUCUAGUGGAUAUGUUU